UUUUUGUGAGGACUCUUCUUGUCUAGAUGAUUACUGGCUGAAAGUGCACCACAUUGCGUUGUGGAUAUCUUUGCAUUUAUAAUUCGACAUUCACUACCAAAACCAAAUUGAAUUUAGUUGGAUUAAUCAAAUUUGUGGACGCAACUUCACAUAUCAUAAAUGAGUUGCUUCUCUUUGCCCUCAAUUCUUUUUUCAGUGAUGACUAGAAUGAGAAUCUGGUCCAUUUUUUUAUUGUCCUAUGACCCAGGUAACUCUGCGUUAAAGAUUGAAACAAGUGAUGACUAGAAUGAGAAUCUGGUCCAUUUUUUGAGUGUCCUAUGACCCAGGUAACUCUGCGUUAAAGAUUGAAACAAGCUGGCUUUCCGUUUGCUAAAGUUGUGGGUAUUCAAGAGUUUAUGACAGAAGGGUGACUCCCUCACUAUUUCUCAGGCUUUGGGUGAGCAUUCCCCAGUUAUCUAUGGUAUGCUGGCUACUAUUCAUGACUUUCAGAUAUCCUAUGUUUGCAAACAAGUUAAUAGACUUGCUCAUUUGUUAGCAAAAUAUGCAUUAGACAUUAAUGAUUUUUCUUUAUGGAUUAAAGAGAGUCCUUGUUUCUUAGAGCAA